UUAAAGGAAUUGACGGGGCCGCACAAGCGGUGAGUAUGUGGUUAAUUCGACGCAACGCGCAGAACCUUACCUGGUCUUGACAUCCCGAGAAUUCCUUGAAAGAGGGAAGUGCCUCGCAAGAGGAGCUUGGAGACAGGUGCUGCAUGGCUGUCGUCAGCUCGUGUCGUGGGAUGUUGGGUUAAGUCCCGCAACGAGCGCAACCCUUGUCUUUAGUUGCCAUCAUUUAGUUGGGCACUCUAAAGAGACUGCCGGUGUCAAACCGGAGGAAGGUGGGGAUGACGUCAAGUCCUCAUGGCCUUUAUGACCAGGGCUACACACGUACUACAAUGGCCGGUACAAAGGGCAGCCACUUAGCGAUAAGGAGCCAAUCCCGUAAAGCCGGUCUCAGUCCGGAUUGGAGUCUGCAACUCGACUCCAUGAAGUUGGAAUCGCUAGUAAUCGCAGAUCAGCACGCUGCGGUGAAUACGUUCCCGGGCCUU
rnacentral:rRNA from 1 species